rnacentral:rRNA from 1 species
UGGUUUUUGGAAUGAAGAACAAUUUAAAUCCCUUAACGAGGAUCAAUUGGAGGGCAAGUCUGGNGCCAGCAGCCGCGGUAAUUCCAGCUCCAAUAGCGUAUAUUAAAGUUGUUGCAGUUAAAAAGCUCGUAGUUGGAUUUUGGACAUCGUCUGCCGGUCCGCCUUAACGGUGAGUACUGUCGGGUGGAGUCUUCCGGCUGAAGGCUAUCUGUGCUCUUCAUUGGGUGUAGGUAGAAUUCAGCCCAUUUACUUUGAAAAAAUUAGAGUGUUCAAAGCAGGCCUUUGGCUUGAAUACAUUAGCAUGGAAUAACAGAAUAGGACUUUGGUUCUAUUUUGUUGGUUUCUAGGACCGAAGUAAUGAUUAAUAGGGACAGUUGGGGGUAUUCGUAUUUCGUUGUCAGAGGUGAAAUUCUUGGAUUUCCGAAAGACGAACUACCGCGAAAGCAUUUACCAAGGAUGUUUUCAUUAAUCAAGAACGAAAGUUAGGGGAUCGAAGAUGAUUAGAUACCAUCGUAGUCUUAACCAUAAACUAUGCCGACU